GAUGAACGCUAGCUACAGGCUUAACACAUGCAAGUCGCAGGGUAACAUGAGGGAAGCUUGCUUUCCUUGAUGACGACUGGCGCACGGGUGAGUAACGCGUAUCCAACCUUCCCAUAACUACGGGAUAACCCGUUGAAAGACGGCCUAAUACCGUAUGAUAUCGUUUGCUGACAUCAAAUAACGAUUAAAGGUUUAGCGGUUAUGGAUGGGGAUGCGUCUGAUUAGCUUGUUGGCGGGGUAACGGCCCACCAAGGCGACGAUCAGUAGGGGUUCUGAGAGGAAGGUCCCCCACAUUGGAACUGAGACACGGUCCAAACUCCUACGGGAGGCAGCAGUGAGGAAUAUUGGUCAAUGGGCGAGAGCCUGAACCAGCCAAGUAGCGUGCAGGAUGACGGCCCUAUGGGUUGUAAACUGCUUUUAUGUGGGGAUAAAGUGCGUGACGUGUCAUGCAUUGCAGGUACCACAUGAAUAAGGACCGGCUAAUUCCGUG
rnacentral:rRNA from 1 species